UGUUUCAACCAAAGAUGUUACCUGGGCAGUGGAAUUCUGUGGAGAAAUUGCUGGCUGCUGAUGUACCUGAUGUAUCUUGGUCCACGGGAGUGACUUUUGUACUCUAUGCACUCUGAUUUUACUCAGGAGCAACUUUUGAACUCUACAUGUGCUGAUUAUUCCUUCAUACUGGUAUUCUCUGAAGACUUUUCAGGUGGCUGCAUGGACAUUGUUGGAGGACAUGAAGUGCAUCCUCACUCCUGAGCUUAUAUGGCUGCCAUCCAGCACAAGAAUUUAGGUGUUAUUUUGUGGAGGAACUAUUGUGAAAAAAUUGGUUUUGAGAGCAGCACAUUGUGAAAUAGAUGGAUUGGAAGACAGAGUUGUUCCUGGAACUUAUUGGGCAUCCAUUGUUGAAAAAAGACAGCAGAUAUUUGGGAUUAUGGAAACCUUUCCUCAUUGUCAAUGUGAUUGUCCUCCCUUUAUAAUGACAAAAUGCUCAUCAAGGGAGAUUCAGGUGGGCCAUAAUCUGUGCUGGUCAGCACCAGGGGUUUGUUUCUUUUGGAGAAGAACAUGAAAAUUCAAGCAUACCUGGAGUUUCUACACAGCUGACUGAAGAAUUUAUUGACAGGAUAAAAAGAACCAUUUCCCAUGACAGAUCCAUGAAAGAGUCAAGAGCAUUUUAACGAAUACUGUGCUGUGCAAUAGAGCUGGGUCCUGCUGCUUUGACACACCUCCUUUGAAAUGUUCCUCCCAGCUUUACAGCUUUGCUGACACCACCACAGCUUUAUGAGAACCGUUCAAAAUAUCCACAUUUAUACAGAUAACACCUUUACUAAUCUUUAGCAGGAGACUGCCACUUAGAAAACAUAAUUUGUAUUGGAUUCCACUCUACUUUUUACUGGGAUGGGAAAGUAUUCAUUGCACCUGGGAUAAAGCAAUAUUUGUUAAUGUGUAUGUACACAAAAGUUCAGUUUCAGACUGAGUGUGAAUGAGAUGUCUGCUGAAUGAGAAAAAAUUGAAAAAAAAAAAAAGGAAAAUCUUAAAAUGUUAAAAUAUUUAUCUGUAAUUUUAUUAAACCCCAAAUACUUCAUUUUACCAUUAUUGAAUAUUUAUUUAUUUCUUUAUUUUUCUAAAUUCAAUUUCAAAGAGUUAAAAUAUUAAAUAGAGAGAAACAGUUUUUCCAAUAAUCUUCAUAAUAAAAAUACAAAUAUAGAGAU
rnacentral:lncRNA from 1 species